rnacentral:rRNA from 1 species
AUACGGAGGAUCCGAGCGUUAUCCGGGUUUAUUGGGUUUAAAGGGUGCGCAGGCGGCCAUUUAAGUCAGCGGUUAAAUCGUGGGGCUCAACCCCAUUCUGCCGUUGAUACUGGGUGGCUUGAUUGCGGUCGAGGUUGGCGGAAUUCGUUGUGUAGCGGUGAAAUGCAUAGAUAUGACGAAGAACACCGAUUGCGGAGGCAGCUGACCAGACCGCAAAUGACGCUCAUGCACGAAAGUGCGGGGAUAGAACAGGAUUAGAUACCCUGGUGGUCCACGCCGUAAACGAUGGAUACUAGUUGUUGGAUUUUCGGAUUCAGUGACUAAGCGAAAGUGAUAAGUAUCCCACCUGGGGAGUACGGUCGCAAGACUGAAACUCAAAUGAAUUGACGGG